rnacentral:rRNA from 1 species
UACAGAGGUCCCGAGCGUUGUUCGGAUUCACUGGGCGUAAAGCGUGCGCAGGCGGUUAUAUAAGACAGAUGUGAAAUCCCCGGGCUUAACCUGGGAACUGCAUUUGUGACUGCAUCGCUGGAGUGCGGCAGAGGGGGAUGGAAUUCCGCGUGUAGCAGUGAAAUGCGUAGAUAUGCGGAGGAACACCGAUGGCGAAGGGCAAUCCCCUGGGCCUGCACUGACGCUCAUGCACGAAAGCGUGGGGAGCAAACAGG